UUUACCUUGUCAGCUCGGGGAUUUACUGGCCCAACGCUCUAACCACUAAGCUACCUGCCGCCCCUGUAUAAUGUGGGACAUCAUUUUUAUUUUUUCACAAGCAGUGCACAGGGCCUUUACUAGCGGACCAAUAUAGCCGUCUAUAGUGCCGGCAACACAUUUUCACAGCACCGCCGCACCCCCAUCCCGAAACAUAUUUCCAUGACUAUGAUCACAGGUUUCACUUUUUAUGGCUUCACUGUCCAUCUCCGACUCCAAAUGAGAAGAGUCCGCUUAUACUCGAGUCAGAAACAGCCAUCCCCGCUACAAGAGCCAACAGCGACGUGAGACAAGCUUUGCCGGUGACACCCAGGGUCCCGGGAGUUGCCCUUGAUGCAGUAGUCCCAGCCUCCAGACCAGGGAAGGUGACGCUGGUGUCGGUGGAGUUGAGCUUCACCCUGCUUUCUGAGCCCUCCAUGAUGAUGCUGAUUGUGUACAGGACAGCGUGGACCACUGGCUCCCACCCCACCACGAUGGUGUCAUUGCUGGGUGAGGUGGAGUUGAGCUCUGGCGCUGCAACCGCUGUAGGAGAGAGACAGCAAAGAUACAUCUUAUUUGAGAACAUCAAACCACUAAACCACAAUGGAUGAAACUGCUGCUUUAUUGUUUUGGUACAUGAAGAAACCCGAUAGGCUGACUAACUCAGUGCUCAACCCAGUUAAGUUUAUUAUUUGUGUUCAUGGAGAGGGGUCAGAUAUAAUUACCCCGGAUACAGGAUAGAUAACUUUCACCCUUAGGGCUUUAAGAUCAGGUAUGCAGCUACUCCCCUUUCUUAGCUUUCGUUUGUUCUUUCUUUCCCCAACAGUCAGUUAAUGUGAGGUCCAAGGGACAAUACCUGUCUUUGCUACUGAAGGGAGGGAAGGCUGGCUCCUGCCUCUGUGGAUGACGGAUAUGACAUUGAGAGUGUAGUCGGUGUACACCUAGAGGUUGAGCAUGGUCCCGGGGGAAGAGGACACCUCGGUCUCGGAGAAGGACAGGUCGGUGUUCUCAGCCCGCAGGAUGUAGUAGGAGGCUCCUGUCACAUUCUGACCUUGGUUCUUUUGUUAUGUCUGUGUUUUAGUAUGGUCAGGGCAUGAAUUGGGUGGGUUGUCUAUGUUCCUUUUUCUAUGAUUUGGGAUUUCUGUGUUUGGCCUGGUAUGGUUCUCAAUCAGAGGCAGCUGUCAAUUGUUGUCCCUGAUUGAGAACCAUACUUAGGUAGCCUGGUUUCACUUUUGAGUUGUGGCUGAUUGUUUCCUGUGUCUGUGUUUGUACCACACGGGACUGUUUCGGUUUUCGUUUGUUCAUUCACGUUGUUAUUUUGUAUUUUUGUAGUUUUCAGUUUUAUAUAUUAAAAUGGACACUUACCACGCUGCAUAUUGGUCCUCCGAUCCUUCCUACUACUCCUCUUCGUCAGAAGAGUGACGGGCGAUUCUGGCAGCUCCUGGCUGAUGGACGGCUCUGGCAGCUCCUCUUCGUCAGAGGACAAUCGUUAUAGCUCCUGUCACCUGAGUGAACUCCACAGCUCUCACUCUGCUUUCAUGUUGCCAUGUUUGUAGGGGGCACCUCAGAAGCUACAGAAAAAAGGGUGGGAUUAUUAAGACUCAAUUCAGGAGCUACACACAUGCAAAUGUAAUGAGUGUAACCAGUUCCACCACAAUAAUGUUUUCAUACAGGAAAAUCAUAUUUUUCACUGUAAGCCUACUGUCAAGAUAUACUGUACACUGAAUGUACAAAAAAUGAUGAACACCUGCUCUCUCCAUGACAUAGACUGACCAGGUGAAU